AGUAAUCGUCCAUUGUCCCCAGCUACUCAGUUCAGCCAUACUAGCUUUAUGGUCUGUGAUCAAGGUGAAUUCCUGACUGUAGUGGAGAGGCAGUAUAAUCCACAAUAUCUCCAUGCAAGGGGUUUCCUGAGUCCUAUCCCAGGGGCAUUACAGGAGUGGACUACAUGGGAAACUUAAUGUACAGAGCCUUUCUCCCAUCAGGC